rnacentral:rRNA from 1 species
GACUACUGGGGUAUCUAAUCCUGUUUGCUCCCCACGCUUUCGCGUCUCAGCGUCAGUAAGUGUCCAGAAAGCCGCCUUCGCCACUGGUAUUCCUCCCGAUAUCUACGAAUUUCACCUCUACACCGGGAAUUCUACUUUCCUCUCCACUACUCUAGAUUCGCAGUUUCGAACGCAGUUCCUGGGUUGAGCCCAGGGAUUUCACGUCCGACUUGCGAACCCGCCUACACGCGCUUUACGCCCAGUAAAUCCGAGCAACGUUUGCACCCUCUGUAUUACCGCGGCUGCUGGCACAGAGUUAGCCGGUGCUUGCUAAAGAGGUACCGUCAAGCCUGGAGCCUAUUUGAAACCAGGGUUUUCGUCCCUCUCCACAGAGCUUUACGACCCGAAGGCCUUCAUCACUCACGCGGCGUGGCUGGGUCAGGCUUUCGCCCAUUGCCCAAUAUUCCUCACUGCAGCCGCCCGUAGG